AUGAACGCUGGCGGCGUGCCUAAUACAUGCAAGUCGAGCGAACGGACGAGAAGCUUGCUUCUCUGAUGUUAGCGGCGGACGGGUGAGUAACACGUGGAUAACCUACCUAUAAGACUGGGAUAACUUCGGGAAACCGGAGCUAAUACCGGAUAAUAUUUUGAACCGCAUGGUUCAAAAGUGAAAGACGGUCUUGCUGUCACUUAUAGAUGGAUCCGCGCUGCAUUAGCUAGUUGGUAAGGUAACGGCUUACCAAGGCAACGAUGCAUAGCCGACCUGAGAGGGUGAUCGGCCACACUGGAACUGAGACACGGUCCAGACUCCUACGGGAGGCAGCAGUAGGGAAUCUUCCGCAAUGGGCGAAAGCCUGACGGAGCAACGCCGCGUGAGUGAUGAAGGUCUUCGGAUCGUAAAACUCUGUUAUUAGUGAAGAACAUAUGUGUAAGUAACUGUGCACAUCUUGACGGUACCUAAUCAGAAAGCCACGGCUAACUACGUG
rnacentral:rRNA from 1 species